rnacentral:lncRNA from 1 species
CCUUUAUCAGGACCUUAUCUAGGCUAGAGAGAAAGAAUAAAGAAAAUUGAACAAGCAGAGCCUCUUGUAAGAAAGAAAGAAGAUUUCUGAAUCACUCAGACUCCUCGGCGUGCACCCCUAUUUAUAUUGCACGUAAAGGUGCAAUCCAAAACAUCUCACACCCUCUGACAAUUUAUCUCAUGCCUCUUGUCUAUUUCUCAUGCCCCAUAAAUUAAGAAAUGCCAUGUGUACAUCAAAGUUGGGUUGA